rnacentral:tRNA from 1 species
GCCUCUGUGGUGAAAUGGAUAUCACGCGUGGCUUCGGACCACGAAUUGGGGGUUCAAAUCCUCCCGGAGGCA